rnacentral:tRNA from 1 species
GAGGGUAUAGCUCAGUGGUAGAGCACGUGCUUUGCAUGCACAAGGUUGUGGGUUCAGUCCCCAGUACCUCCA